ACCUUGUUUUCUUCACAGUUUUGCCUGAGGAAAGAUAAGGAGCUGAGAGUGGGGGGAAUGGAGGCUCUUGAACUCCAGAGGGGGUGCUGAGUAGAGAGAUUUCCCCACCAGUGUGCUGGAUAUGCAGUCAUGGUGUUAUCUGGAGAACAGCUGACAGGCAGAAUGUAAUAAGGAGUGUAGAACCUUUGAGUCUGUGGUUUGCUCUGAUGUCCUCACACAAGACCAUCACAGAUCUUAGGAAGCAGGAGGCAGCUUCCCAUAAAUGAUGUAAAAUGGUGGCGCAAAAGAGGCCACCGAUGACAACAUGGGCAGGGUACUUCCUCAGUGGCCGCUGGUCACAGACAGCUUUUGGUCUUGAUUUCCCAAUGAGCUGUGCUGCGAUAGGGCUUUACCAGAAAGUAAAUAAGCCUUGUCCAAAGCAGUGACAAAGCACUUGGGGUAUCCAUGCAAAGUGCAGUUCCCUCUUGUUCUCUAACUUUGUGGAGCCAAAAUAACUAAGCCAGAGGUGCCAGCAUAGCACCUGGGAUUCAAUCUUCAACUUUUGUUGAUUGAAUUCGCUACUGGUUGACUGUUCAUCUUUCAUUUAGCAGUGCUCCCAAACUGCCUUUGUGAUCUGAAUUCUCACAUCUUUCCUCCCUCAGGGAGUCUGACAGAGACAGCUCAAAUCUCAGUGCCUUUCCCAGCUCCUCACAGUUGGGUUCAUGGAUGCCCUUUACCCUCAGGCUUCAACUUCUACUUUGUCCACAUUUCUACCCUAAGUCUGGAGCAUUUUCUUUGGAUCAGACUUUCGGCUUCAUUCAGGCCUCUAAGGUUCUCACUUCUUUCAGCACAUUUUCCUAGAGAACUACCUGAAGAAUGGUCUCUACCCCUCACCUCCUAAAGUUUGACAUAAUGUGAACCUCCUUCCUUACUGGAAUCAGCACAGUUCUUUGGAAAUUUCUGGAUAUACCACACCCCUACCUCUCUUCCCAACCACCUUAGCCUCAUACACAAGAUCUAGUGAUGUAGCUGGAUCUGCUGAUCACCAGGAUUUUGGAGCCAGUGCCCCCAGCAGGGAGGAACUCCUGGGCAUGUGCCCUGAGUGACAGUUCUGUCUACCAGUCUCUGCCUCUCCUCCAUCUCACCUUUUUUUUGGCUUUUCCCUGAGAGGACCCCCUAGCCCUGUCCAGGACUGUAACCCUGCUGUCAACCCCUUAUCAGGGGCUGUGACCUUUGCUUUCCAAUCUCUUCUGGGCCAGGUCCCUUCUCCGAUACUAGAGACUUUUCCUACAGCUACGCUUUGGUAAGUAGAGUUCUGCCCAUGCACUGAUAUCCCAGUGUUGACCACCUUGGACUCUGUCUACUGCUCUUUGGGCUGAUUGGCUGUCUUGCUGGUCUGUACAGCUAUGCUUCUGGAACAAGACUCUUAGGCUUAGUUGAGCCCCUGUCCUGAAUUUCAUGUUAGCUCUCCAACUGCCUCUGCCUCAAAAAGAGCUUUUAAUAUGCAUUUAUAAAGCUCCAAAAGGGAGAUAGAGAAUAUAACAUUUCCUAGACUUAUUUAACUAGAAAACCUUUUUUUUUUCUGGCUGAAGAAAAUUGUUAAAAUCUGACAGAGUAUGGUGCUUGGUGGAGCACAGUUUUGGGAAGUACAAGGCUUUAUCCUAAAGGAAUGGACAUCAAAUGGAGGAAUUCCAGGUAAAGGUAAUGUGACAGUCAGUGAAAAAAAUUCUUUGGGGAUAGGAAAUGUCUCCUGGGGCUCCUCAUUCAACAAGUGCCCACUGAGCGCCUGCUGUUUAUGUCUCUGCUGGAAUCACACCAUGUGUGUGACUACUUAACUGUGUGUCUGCAGAAGGCCGGCUCUGAUCUGGAGUGGAGCCCAAGGUGGAGAAGGAGGUAGGGUUGCUACAUUCUUUCUCCCAUGUUUAGGUCCUCUUCCCCUUUCCUCCAGUGGAAACAGGAAAUGGUGAAUGGGGUGAUGCCAUCAUGGCCACAGAUACAUCAGCUUUUGGAUCCAAGGAAGGAGGGCUUCUCUGAGGCUUCUUUCCCUAGGUUUGACCUCUUCCAGGAUUUCUCUAGUACUUUUGGGCACCCCAUCUCUCCCACUCUGGGACUGUUCAUCUCCACAUUAGUCCCAGUUCUCACUGCUGGUUCAAGAUUUUGAUUUUACAUAUGGGCAUCAGUGCCAAGUGGUAUGGAGGUCAUUUUUAUGGAAUGGGUAUGACAUUAUAAAUUUUCUACUUUGCCUAUGAAAUCCCUCUUCUUUUAUAGCUCAUGGGCAGUCCAGACUAUAAUAAUUUUUUUCAGUCCUUCAGUGAAGAUAAACCCAUGUCUGGGAAGGGCAGUCUUGCAGCCAUUUAAAUCUGUCAGGGUGGGUGAUUAAGUGCCAAGGGCAUAGCGGGUAACCAAAGUGGAAGCCAUCACUUCCUCUGAAUGUCAUUCUCAACCAGGACAGGAAAAGAUCCCUUGAAGCAGAUAGAAGUCACUAAGACUCUUGACUAAGGCCUUUUGAGACCCUGGUAUAUGGAUCUUUACUGUCAUGAGUGAGAUCUUUGUUUGGCUGAUCUUAACUCAGUUGGCUUGAGCUAAUCAUAGAACAAACUAGACGGAAAGGCUCAGCGUUGAACUUUCCCUUAGGUAUGGUGUUCUCUGAACAUCAGCAAAUAGCAUCCUCCCACCUUAGGGGCCUUGGCCUGUGACAGUUGUCCAUUUCUGCCACUUCCUCUGAAAGACCAUGGUUUUAACUGUGAAGAUCAGUGAGUGAGUUCACUUGCAGGAAGGUGGAAAGAGGGCUUGAAAUGGGCAUUUAGAGAUCUUAAAUAGAGCCAGCCAGUUACUUGUUCAUUCUAUAGGUGUUUAUAAUUAUUAGUUUGUCUAUAACUGCAGAAGGCUUACUUUCCCCAACUAGUCUUUCCUAACAGGCUCCCUACAUGAAGACAUUUCUUUCCUUAGACCUGUUCUCUCCUCCCUCUAUAAACUGUCCCUGGGUGAUGUCAUCUGUGCUUAUCAAAAACUCUCAGAUCUCUAUCUCCAACCUAAAUCUCUCUUCUAGUUCCUGACUCAUGAUGACCAUACACUAUUGAUAUUAUAACCUGGAUGUCUUAAGCCAGAUUACGUUCUUCAUCAGCCCAUCCUCUUCUCCCUAUUCCUGCAUUCCUUCCUAUUUUUAUUCCUCUUUGUUCCUUGAUUCAGGAGCAUCACCAUCUAGGUUGAUCAGUAAACUUGCUUCUGCAUCAGUGUCUUGCACUGUUCCACCACCAAGAAUUUAAUAGGCUCUGAGUGUAAUAUAAGAUGUUUAGGAUGUGUGUAGGUGGUUUGUUUUCUUUUCUUUUUCUUUUCCUUUUCUUUCAUGUAAUUCUCAUCUGCAUGGCAUGUACAGUUGAAUUCCACAGAGAAAUUAACAGAUAGAAAAAAUAAAGGUUAAUCUGAGGUUUAGAUUUUAAGUAAACUGGAAAUUCUGGAAAGGAAACAUCUGAGGGCUAAAACCUUGGGAGAAAGCUUCGUGGAAGAGGUGAGAGUCGACUGAGGACACCUUAGGUGGGGUAGGGACCGCAAGACCCCUUUGGGAGCAUGUGCAAUGGUGAAGGGACAAUCCUCAGCUUGUUUCUUGUGCAAGCAGAGUGAUCAGCACCUCCCCUACCAGCUACUUCUGUUCAUCACUGUUGUACCUCAUGCAGUUUGAUUCUGUUUAAAAGGUUCUGAGACUUGAAUAUCAUAGUGUAACACAUUAGUUAGCUGGAACCAUCUUUUCCCUUAAACUUUUGGCUCAAGGUGUCAUUCUGCAACUUGUGGAAACUCUGAUUCCUUCACCCGGAAUUCACCAGUUUCUUGGGAGCUCAUGUAUUUAUAGUCACUGAUUUUGAUCUCUUGCUCCCAUUAAAUUAGUUCAGAUUAUAGACAGUCUUAUUGUCUCAAGAAUGCUGUUCCUGUUUCCAUCCACAUUGAACCAGAUGGUAGAACUCAAAUACCUCACAGCUCAAAGCCUUUUGUGUGUAGCGGACUUUAUUAAAGUUUGGGUAAUGGAGAGUAUUUUACAUUGCAGCAAAGUAAGCAACUUGAAUUCUCACACUGGCUAUCCCUUUCCCUUAAAGUAAUUUGCCCACCUUUCCAUUAGGGAUUCAUUAAUAUCACCCAUAUAUGUGGCCUUGGUGUCUCUUACAAUCUUAUCUUUCUUUCCUUUGCAAACCUUCCUUACUCUAUUGCCACUAAGCCUCCAAAUACUUCUUACUUUAUUAUGCAAAGCAAUUGAACUCUAACUUCGCCUCCCAGAUUCACCUCUGUAUAUCCAAGGUCCACUGAAGGGCUCUGCUGAAUAAAAAGCUCAUCUACUUCUUAGCCACACAAAGGAUUUGUAGAACCUCUUAUGUGUUCUUCUAUAUUAUCUUCUCUCUUUUGGAAGUAUUUCUUGUUUUAUUUUAUUUUAUUUUAUUUUUUUAUUUUUCGCAGUACACGGGCCUCUCACUGUUGUGGCCUUUCCCGUUGCGGAGCACAGGCUCCAGACGCGCAGGCUCAGCGGCCAUGGCUCAUGGGCCCAGCCGCUCUGUGGCAUGUGGGAUCUUCCCGGACUGGGACACGAACCCACGUCCCCUGCAACGGCAGGUGGACUCUCAACCACUGUGCCACCAGGGAAGCCCUGGAAGUAUUUCUUGUUUUAAAUAGCAUUUACUUCUUCUUACCCCAGAAAUGGUUUUGCUUUGAAGGAUCUCUGGAGGGAAGGUAAGAAGUGGAUUUAUUUAGAGAGAAACACACUCCACAGACAGAGUGUGGGUCAUCUCAGAAGGCAAGACUGGCCUUGGGAGAAACACACUCCACAGGCAGAGUGUGGGCCAUCUCAGAAGCUCCUGCACUUCCAUCCAAGGCCUCCACAAGGGAGGGGACCCUGCCGAGAAUUCUGAGGACUCAAGACCCUCUUGGAUAUUCCUCAGCUCAGCCUUGGGGUGUUUGCCUGCCCCUGACAAGCAGAGUGACUAAGACGGGAAGGAAUUGAAUUUGAGAAUUCAUAAUUGGCAGCAUUGUGAUGGCUUCUUCCUAGUUUCUUCUGUGCAUGUCUCAAGGGUUUCCACAUCUGCAGACGGAAGAGCUUAAUCCUCCAUCAGUAUCCUCCGACAGCACAUUCAGUUGGGGGCAGUGUCUUAUCUUCCGACGUCUGUUCACCCUCAUGCUUCACACGUACUCUGCCACUGAUGGUUUCUUAGACUCUGGCUUUCUUCAGGCCCUUGAUAUCAACCAGUUACCCUUUGGUAAGAGAUUAAGCCAUUCCACUACUCUCCCAGAGGCAUUUGCAUUUAGAACUACAGGUAUAAUAGAAAUAAUGGAAGAUGUUGCAUUCCUGAGGGAAGGCGAUCCUGGAAUGUAUUAUUCAUUUGCUCAUUCUAGAACAUCCCAUCCUUCUGCCCUGCCACCCCCUCUCUCUAUUCCUGCUCGUGCCUUGGUAAACCCUACUUCCUCCAAGAAGACUUCCCCGACUCCUGUCCCUUCCAGGUGAGGCCAGUUUUAGGGCUCUGAACAGAUUCCAUUUGGCUUCCCAGUUGAGGGUGGAGGUGGCAGGGAUGGAUCUCAGGAAGAUGUAGCUGCAGGAUGGAUGUGCAUUAGGUCUCUGCAUUUCAAACUUCCAGUGAAAAAUAUAUCUUAUGUCCCAACUACCGCACACACCUACAUACAGAUAUAUAAAACUGAAACAAAAAUUUUGUAAAAAUAACACUCACUAUGUGUGAUGCAUUUGGAUAUUUUCUGUUCUAUUUAUUUUUUAAAGGAAAAUGCUGGUUAUAACCCAUUGAAUUGAUUUCACAGCCCAGUAAUGGGUCACAACCCACAGGGUGAAAAAUGCAGAGUGAGAUCAUUACUGCUCAGAACAACUCUGAACACAGCCAAGGGGCCCUGUGCCGAUGUUGCCCUUUGGGUGCCUCGAAGAGCUUGCAGAUGAUGGCACUGGCAGUGGUGUGGUCCACCUGGUGGUGCUCUGCUUUCUCCGUGGAGUCUCCUUUCAGGGCCCCAGUUGGUUGUGCCAUGAAGUGGCCACAGAUGCUUUCUCCGUGCUGUGGAAGGAGGUUGAAGUCUACAAAGCACUCCAUACACCCCUCAGAAAGAUGCUGGCUCAGUGUGAAGUGUCACAAGGCUGUAUACCUCACCCCAUUUGAUGAGGCUCCUCAUGGAGACAAAGCUUCCAGGCCCCGUGGGGCUCACUGGUGCUGCUCACCUGGGAGGGCUAAUGGAUAACAAAUAGAACAAAAGCAAAACAGGGAGCUCUUGCCUGCAGCAUCACAGUGACAGAAACAUCUCCUGGUUAGAGGAUGGAUGAUAAAUAUACAUAAUGAACAUUCCAGGGGGCAGUGAGUCUUGGAGCCCCAUCUCCCUUCGGAACUGGAAGUUACUGAAAACCGAACCCACAGAAAUAGCUACCUCAAAACCCCUGCAUUUAAGCCAGGUGUUUUAUCCCUCUGAGAUCCUCAAAGCCUGUUGACAUUUACUUAGUACACUUUUCUAAGAAAAGUGGCUAUCUGAUGUCUCAACCCACUGCAGAAGAAAAUUGCCUGGAAGGGUGGUGGUAGGUCUUUUCCAGAGAGAGACAUGUAGAUAACAGGAAAGUAAAAGCCAUGGGGAAGGAUAGAGAAACAGUAAGAAGGGGACACAAUCAUGUUAUUAUCUAGUUCCUUAGGGAAUGUUCCUAAUGACCACUUAUGUGGGGAAAGGACAUUUUUUAAAGCAUUAGAGAGCAGUGGACCACAUUUUAGCAAGAUUUCACUUUAAAGUGGUUGGGCAUUGAAGUUUCACUUUUCAGGAAAAGUAUUCAUGAGAACCUCAGUGAUUCUGCAUAAAUUAGGUGCUGUUGAACUGCCCCUGAUUAGGACUAGUCAUGGGUUUGAGGCAUGCUGUAAUCUCAGGUUCACGGGCAAGUCCUCCCCACCCAGCCCUAGUCAGUCUCAUAGCCUGAAACCCCUCCAUUACUGUUACUGUUGGGUUCCGUUCACCUGUGUGAAUCUGUGAAUAAAUUCUUUCCAAUCUGAAAGCUUCUUGAUAGUGGCUCCCGGAUAUUCUGAAGGUAGAUGUAGAGAGAGAACUCUGAUCUGGACCCCACCUGAGGAUGGGGUGGCCUAAAUGACCAGAGAGCAGGACAAAACCACUGGGAUUUGGACUAUGGUGAGCUUUUAGGGAGCAGUGGGGGGCAGGCUUGGAAGCCGAGUUCCACCCUUUUCACUGCUUUCACUACUUGAGGACAGCCCACUCACUGAGACAGAGCCAGGUCUCUGUUUCUUCCAUAGCCUGUCCCCUCGCGGCUCACUGGCCACCUGAUCCCCAGAUCUGCUUCUGUGAGUUACCCUGAGUGACUGCAGGGGUGCUCCAAUAAGUAAGGGGACCUCAAAGAAAAGCCAGCUGUUUCUGAGACAAAGAUCAUUUAUUCCAUAUUGUCUGAGAAAGCAACCUUUAAGUAGAAGGCAGUGGGGUUGGUGGUGUGUCACACCACCAGGAGGUUUCUGUCUUAACAGUAGAUUGCUACAUAGUAUGCAUGCAUAAUACAUUACAGUUCUAGUAUUGAUAUUUCCAAAUGCCCUGUGACUACAAAAUGAUGAAAUUUCUCCCCGGGGGAGAAUGACAACAAUAAACUAAAGUAACAAUACCAAAAGUCUCUGAAAAGAUCUCAGGGGUUUGCGGGACUUCGGUGGUGGCGCGGUGGUUAAGAAUCCGCCUGCCAGUGCAGGAGACAUGGGUUUGGGCCCUGGUCUGGGAAGAUCCCACAUUCCACGGAGCAAGUAUGCUCGUGUGCCACAACUACUGAGCCUGUGCUCUACAGCCCAUGAGCCACAACUACUGAGCCUGCGCGCCCAGAGCCCGUGCUCCUCGAGAAGAGAAGCCACCGCAAUGAGAAGCCAGUGCACUGCAACGAAGAGUAGCCCCCGCUCGCCACAACUAGAGAAAGCCCAUGCGCAGCAACGAAGACCCGAUGCAUCCAAAAAUAAAAAU